CUCUCCCUGCCCUCCCCUUUCCAGAAUCUGAUGCCAAUAUGACUGAACUCCAGUUUUUGUGGUUGUUGUCGCCACCGCCGCCGCUGCUAGGGCUGGUGAUACAAUGCCGCUGAGGAAUGAUCCUUUAAACAACCACCAGCCACAGAACCUCAGCCCUUUAAGGUCAGAAUAUUAUUGCUUUUACCAUCAGAAGUUUAAAUCUUCAGGGGGAAAGUGAAGCCAGAAUAUCCAGGACUCUGUGGACCUCUAUUGUCAGCUUCAACAUUUGCCAACCAUAGUAAUUCAACCCCCAAAUCUCUGCUGUAUGCCAUACUGGCUGUAAAAAGGCCACAGUGAAAGGAGAAUUGGAGAAGAAAAUUCUUGGAGGCCAGGCAAAUGUCAUGCAUUGUAUUGCAGUAGUUAAGGAAGUUCACGGACUUCAUCAAGUGACCUCAUAGCCCAUAAAAUAUGGGAGAGAUGCAAGAAGAAUAAAUAGGAUAUAUUGUUUAGAAGAUGUGGAAGUCAAGACUCAAAGAUGACACAGGUAGCAAUGCUGGGCAUGAAGCUAAAGUGUCAUACCAUGCUGGCCUCUUCCUAAAAGUAAGUCUUGCCUGAAUUAGCAUGGAAAGUGACUCAAGGUGAAGGGAGGAUAUAUCGUUUCCUUCUGUCUUUUGUCACCGUUGUUGAGAUGGCAGCUACUACCCAUCAUAUUUGCUAAAGGGGAAAAGUGACUACCAAACUCCUCCUGGUUUUAAAGGUGAAGUUAAGUAACUGGAAUAAAGUAAAAACAGAGAGGAACCAACUAGAAGGAUACAAACUGAGUAUGCAGAAUCACCUAAAAAGGAUUAAUCAGCAGAGGAAUGUUGCUGGCUAAUAUACUUUGAGAAUUCCAUAUCAACACCAUAUACAUUGGCUAAAAUCCAGACAUAUAAUCUAAGCAAGGCCCUCUAAACUGGUGAGUUUUAAAUUCCUUAUGUUUAACAGAGAAGCAGCAGGAGGCCGCCUUAUUCUCUAAGAAAGAGGAGGAAUGAAUAGAUUCCUCAAGCUGAUAGAGCUGAGAAAGGCAUCUCCUAGGCUCUUGCAUCACUUAUGUUAAUAUGCAGGUCCUCAGAACUGCAGCUUUCUCAUGAACAUUGUACUGGAAAGUUCUCCUCUGUUACUCUCUGGGAAUCUGCAGACAGUUCAUGUGGAAGUCUCUCUCCCAGUCUGAAAGAAUUAAAUAGAAUAUUAUAAUUACUCAGAGUUUAAUAUAUGCUACAACUGUUUUUGCUGCCUUGGUGUUUAAAGAUGCAAAUGUUCCAAUCGCUUCUAGAAACAUGACAUUAUAAAAGGGACUACCGUAAUUAGGAAUAAAAACUGUUCAGUCCUCAUUAACCAGAAAAGCAGUUUCUAAACCCAGGGAGGCUCUACUUUUAUUCCAAGAAAAGUCAGGAAGAUGGCGCCGCAAGAGCCUAAUAAUGAUUUUGGGUCAACUUGUGCUCACUGCAAUUGACUAGGAUCCAUGUGAACUGAUUUUUAAAAGGCAAUGAACAACAAAUACUUCUAACAGAAGAAAACUAAUCAGAGAAAAGCCUGAAGAAUAAUCUUAAGCACACUCUUCUUUAAAGUUUCACUAUUAUUUUAUUCUUGAUUGCCCAAAUUCAUUCAGCCUUAAUGCAUUGUUAAAGAGCCUGUCCUAUUAGCCAAGGAUGUUAUGGUAACUGGUUGUAAAGCUACUGUUCUCCUGGUUACAACAUUUGACUAGAAAAAUGCUUUCUUAAUUGAGGCUGAGAGUGAUAAUUCCCUGGUGACUCAAAAUAGUUAAGGAGUGCGUAUAAAACUGAGCACAGCCUAGUCUCGAAGAUGAUGGCAGCCUUUACUUUGGUUCUUUAAUCUCCGCAUCCAUUUCUGUCCUGCCAGAACUGUCUACACUGAGGCCUCACUGUGGCAUUAGUCACGGUAAGAGCCAAAUGUGUUCUAAGCCUGUGCCUUUUUAUACCUGUCGAAGGGAAUUUGGUCACUGAAAUCACAAGUGAGCCAUGUUAUAAGGUGUUUAACUGUGAGGCAGUCUCCCACAGAGGAGGAAGGCAAGAACAUUUGGAAGGAAUGUGAUUUAUUUAUGUUUUCUGCAUAGGUACUUGUGACGUGUCUGCUUCUGAGAAAAGCAACGUCCACAGAUUGCAGAUAGAUAGCGCGUUAUCUAGCCCUCAUUCUUUCUUUUAGCUGAAGUUCUUAUCACCUACGUUUCAAAACCUAAUUAAGCGAUGGUUCAUUCAUAACUAAAGGACACUGGACAGGAUCUAGGCUCCAGUCUCUUCUUUGUCAACAACCAGCUCUGUGGCUCUCAGCAAAUUAGUUCUCCAGUGGGACUCUGUUGCUUUGUCUUGUAAUAAUAACAGUUCUAUUUAUUAAACUUUUUCUCUGCAGUAGGGGCUAUAAUAAGCACUUUAACUAGAUUAUUUCAUUUAAACCUCAUAAUAACCCAAUGGGUAGUUUCUAUUUUAACCUCCGUUCGGCAGAUGAGGGAGUUGAGGCAUAGAAAGCUGAAGAGUUUGUCCAAAGUGACACGACUUGGACAUGAAACAGCCAGGAUUUGGUUACGUUUCUGCUGAACCUACAGACUACAUGUUUAUCUUAUUGCCAGAAUACUCCACCCAAGAAUUUAUGGGGCAGGGAGAUUUUCCUGCCCCACAAAUUCUUAAUUGUACUUAGAAAUGAGUUGGCUUCACUCAUGUAGCAUGUCUAUGCUGCCAUAUGUAAUUUGAUUUUUUUAAUUUUUUAAAUUUUUCUUCUUGUUUUCCCAACCAGAGUAAAAUGUCCAGAUGAGUUAGUGGAAAGACUACUUUCUAUAGGAUAAUGAGUGAGGUUAUCUGCCCUUAUAAAUUCCUUCCUUUAUAAAUAGAGAUAAUAAUGCCUGGCUUAGAGUGUUUUGAUGCUCUAAGUGCAAAAUGGCUAUAGGAUGGAUAGCAGCACUAUAUAAAGAGAAUUUGUUUCUAGUAUUUUAAAAUAUCAGCUCUCUUGGGAAAGACUCCUUAAACAAUGUAUUUGCCAGGUCAUGUCGUGUUGUGAGAUGCUAAAGUUGACGCAUUGAUCAUUACUUUGCGGUUUUUCAAUUUAGAAAAUAAUUCUUAAACACGCUCUUAUUUAUCUUUGCACUAUUAAUUAACGUAACAGGAAGAACAGUUUAAUGGUGAAUGUGAAACCUUUAUAGAGCACCUAAAUUUGUCCUAGAUGUUAGCUUAUUGAAUUUUCACCAUUGCUCUAUGAGAAAAAUGUGAGAAAACCGAGACUCAGAGAUGUUAGGUAACUUCCACAGGACAUACAGCUUUUUGUUGAGAACUGGCACUGAGUCAGAGUUUUAGUUCUCUCCAGAGACCAGUUUCCACCAUGUCAUAUUGAAGAUAGGAAUAUUCUUUAAGAUUUUUGUGCUUAAACAUCUGUGUGUGUAUUGUUCAUGUUCCAUUUUAUUAAAAUAUCCAACUGAAUAGCCAACAUUUUCAUAAUAAAUAUUACGAUGAUAAAAUAUUAUAACUUAAAAUCAUAAAAGUACAUAUUGGAAAAGACCUUAAAAUCAGCAAGCUCAACAAGUGAUUCAUUGCUUUUCCAGCUGGUGCUUGGACAUUGCCUGCAAUGUAGAACUCACGCCUCAGGGACAAACAAUUUCAUCUUUAACAUUUACAAAGUAUUACCACUAGACUGUCCAUCAGGGAUCUCAAAUGUAACAUGUUCAAUACUUAAUUCGUAAAGUUGUUUCAUAAUUGUAUUUCUAGUUAAUUGAGGAGCUGGGCUUACCAGAAAAGAGCAGGCAGUAAUGAGGAUAACAUUAUUCCAUCAAUAAUUAACCACAGAUUAUAUUUUAAGCAUUCAUUUUUAUUUUAUUACUAAGGCCAAAGAAAGAGGUCAGUAAAAAUUGUUACCUUAUCUCCUUGGGAUUUUCCAAGAUCACCUUGUUAGAGCUUAAUGCUCCAUUUAUGUUAGAAGACAAUUGCGUCAGUCAGAGUUCCAAGCAGAAAGCAGCCGGUACAUUCAAAAGGGUUUGAGGCAUGUUAAUGAAGGGACAUUUACAAAGGUAUGGGCAGAGUUCAGGGAAAUUAACAGAGUAGUUGUUCACCACUGCAAGCAUUUCAAGGAUAUCAAUGGUGGAGAUCCAUUAGCAGCUGUAGGCAUGAGAGAGUGAGAAAUGAGUAGGUAUCAGAACCCAGGGCAAGUGAUGUUACAAAAUGACACCCCAUCCCCUGCCUCCAGAAAAACUGUGGCCUCGGGAGGAGGCAUGCUGCCUGGAAGCUCAACCAGGAGAACAGAUACCCUGACCCCACUGUCUCCACCACCCGCAGAGCUCCUGUUGGUGGCUGAGUUCUUGCUGCUACUAAUUGGAAGACAGAAGACGAGAUUCCUUACUAACGCAGCCCAGGACACAAUAUUACAUGUCGUCCAAUACAUUACCUGAGUCUUUUCUCUUCCUACUCCUCUCUGGACACUUAUCCCUACCAUACUGUCCCAUUUCUAUCUCCUAAAUCAGCAACAGGAAGGCUAACUAGUUUGAAAGUAGCCUUAGAUCAUGAAGGGAAAUAAUAAUCCUACAGAUCUAGGAGGUUUUGCCAUGUGACAAUGUUAGCAUGUAUCUCUUGGAUUGUACAAAUUAAUUCUAAAAGAAAUUUUACGACCUUUCUUCCAUAUUUUUGUAUCAUAAUUAGCAGACCAAACUGGCUGAUAUGCAUGCAUAAAUUUUAUACGCAUACCAGUGUAUAUUAGAGACUAUUUAGUGUUCACACAUCAAAUAAACUUUUUUCUUUUGCUCUGAUUCCUUUCUGAGACUUAUCUAACUAUUCUUUGUUAAAGCCAUUAUUAAGCUUUAAACACUGGUAAUGUAAGUUCUAAUCUCUGAAUUACUAGCCUAAUUGCUUUAUCCCUAUCCCCAAUAUCUUCAAAGCCUUGCCUUUUGGGAAUUAUGUCUUGACUAAAAGUUCUCUGAGACUAAAAUCUUCUGAGCAAGCAGUCUCAGAACCAGAUUUUCCAAUGGGAUCUGUUUACAUCAUUGAAGAUAAGAGGUCUGAUACAUAGAAUUUAUAUCAGAUAAGCCAGGUACAUUGUGAGAAAAAAGGACAUCCUUUAUUUUACUGUAGAACCCUUGAGAUGGAGUUGACACAACUUGAAAGACAAGUUCAAAUAAACUUUUGGACCCAUUUUUCUUGAAUGUUGAUGUGACAGUCUCUUCAUAGGUGUUUUGAGCUUGAGAUAGCUUUUCAAUUCAUUUAAAUCACAUAUUGGUUUACCCCACUGUGCACAUUACAACAGAUCUGACAGUGAAACAUCAGUUAAAACCGACACACCUUGGUGAUAAGAAUGACAGAUUUUUAUGCGCAUGAGCAGAAUGAGGGCAAUGUUUUGUCUUAAAAAAACAGCUAAGGCAUCAGCAAGUUAGGCAGUGAGGUCUUCAGAGUUUCAUAAUUCUCUAACAUGUGUUUAUUUUUACCCCUUGAUGUUAGCAGUGUGGCAGGUACACUGAGAAAUAAGCCUUUUAAAGUCAUAUACUUUAUUCAAGUAUUUAUUGAACCUCUUCUUUGAGGCAAACAUGGCAACAGAGGUGGGAUAUGAAAUUGGAAAUAAAACAUCAUCCCUCUCCUUAAAGAACUGGUAGUUUAGAUAGGUGACAGUGUCACAACAAAAUGAGGGGAACUUCUGGAAGCAGAAUCUUGUCAGAGACUCUGUUCCAAUGGCGUCUUUUUAUUUGUUUAGUGCCAUAGCCACUAAGCAGGCAAGGACCCAUGAGACAGUAGGUGAGAAGGUUCUGGGGUUAUACAUGUGCCAUGGGCUUAACAAAUCACGACUAUCGUGACUACCAAUUGGUCCUGUCUCAGAAGUAGUAUUACAUGCAUCUCAUUCUCCCAUCCUCAUGAUACUGUGUGGUCCGGAUCCUCAUUAGUUCUCAGGUUGAGCAGUUGCAACUGACCGCUAUCCAGCUUCCUGGUUUAAUACUCAAGAUUACCUUCUAUUUACUCUUCUUAAAUCUAUUCUCUGCCACCCCUGGAAUAAUCUUUGUAAAAUGUGAAUCUGGUAGUCACAUUUCCCUUUUUAAAUGGCUUUACAAUUUCCCAUGUCCACCAAGAUAAGGUCCGAACUUGCCAAUGAGCUCCACAGUGAUCUGAUUCCUAUAGACUGCUCCAACACCUUCCCAUGGCCUUUCCAUGGAUUCUGCCAUAGUGACCUAAGGGUUCACCAAACUCAACUUCUGCUUCAUGCUUUAAUGCCUCCAUGUCUCUGUGCAUGGUGUUGGUCUGCCUGGGCCAGACUUCCCCUUUCCUUUUUUAACUGUACUCCUGUUCUAGAGGUCUAGCUCAAGUUCUCCCCAUCUCUAUCACCACCUCUCAGAAACACCAUCAUCUAUUCCUGCAAACGCUUCCUAACUUCUACUUCACUCCCCAUCCACUCUUGCCCCUUCCAGUCCAUUCUUGACUGCUAGGCUAAAGAUAACCAUUAUCCAUCCCUACUCCUAUCACCCAUAGGAUAAAGAGCAAUAUCCUUAUCAGGGCCUAUGUAGGAGGCCCUACCAGGCCCUGCUUGUCUCUCCAGCCUCAUCUCCUCUUUGUGCAGCUUGCUCCAACCAAAACUACCUUAUAUUGCAUGUCCUUGAAUGCCCUUGAAUGUCAUAUUUCCUCUGCCAUAGGCUUUGCACAUGCUGAUCUCUCUUCUCAGAUUGCUUGCCCACCUCUCCUACCCAUUCCACAGAUCUCAGCUCAAAAAUUGCUCCGAGAAGCAAGCCUUCUCUGAACCUUAGUCUAGACUAAGUUUCUUUACUCUGCAUUUUCAUAGAAAGUAUUUCUUUACUUCAUAGAAUUCACCUCAGUCUGCAGUUGGUUGAUGACUUGGUUAGUGUCUAUCUCCAUCCCAAAAUCGUUUCAUGAAAGAUGAACAGCAUCUGUUUUUGUCUAUCACUGAAUUCCUAGCCUAGCACAGUGCCAGUCACAAAAGGGGCACUCAAAAUAUUUUUAAACAAUGGAUCAAUCAAUCCACUAAGGCUCUUGCUCAGUUGCUUCAUUUGAAAAGCCUUGAUACCAUCAUCACCACUAUCAUCUUAUAUACCUUCUUUGGAAAAAUGUCUAUUCAAUUUCUUUGCCUAUUUUUUAAGUGGGUUGUUUUUAUCUUUUUGUUGUUGAGUAGUAAGUGUUCUUUUAUAUUCUGGAUACUAGGCUCUUAUCAGAUAUAUGAUUUGCAAGUAUUGUCUCCUAUUCUGUGCACUCUCUUUUCACUUUCUUGAUAGUGUCCUUUGAAGCACAAAAAUGUUUAAUUUUGAUGAAGUUCCAUUUAUUUCUUUUUUCUUUUGUUGCUUGUGCUUUUUGUGUCAUGCAUAAGAAACCAUUGCCAAAUUCAAGAUCAUGAAAAUUUACCCCUAUGUUUUUGAUCCAUAAAGUUCUUUUGACUUUUAAAAUUCUAUAAGAUAAGUCAAUACUGGUCGCCUAUUACACACAAAGAACUAUUGGGAUUUCAGGGGAAACUGGAUAUUGGAGACUCAAGCAUCAGAAUGGAUAAGGCAUCAUUUUAGUGUUAGAAUCAGGUCCCAAGAUGGAAACUUCAGAAGUGCCAGGAUGUGCAGGAUGUGAUUGAGUUAUAUGUAGACAAAGAGAUUUGGGAUAGAAGUGUUUAAAUAUAGAGUCCAAGGUAACUUAACAGACCUCUAAUUAAAACAAUUAAAGCAAAAUUCCAAAAUACAUAAAGGCAAAUAAUAAGCUCUGAAGAAAACUGAAAAAAGUCUGACAAAUUCCAAGCCUUGCUUGAACUAAAGAACACAAUGCUAUUUGUGUAGAGGGAAAAUGUUAACAAAUGCUACAUAAAGUUGUGGCCUGAAUAUAGAAAAAGCCAUCCUAGAUAGUGCAGGAAAAGGAAAAAACUUAGUUUCUAAUUUAGCUCUAAGCAAGAUAAGAGAAAGACUUGCCUGAUACAUAGUAAAUGCUAAGUAAAGAGUUUGUUGGAUGUAAAAUAAAAUUCCUGAAAGAAUAAUGGAAUAUCCUGUGCAGAGUAAAUGCUCAAUCAUGUAUUUCUUGAAUAAAAAGUAAAACUUAUAGAAAAUAAGUGAAUUUGAUGUGACCGAUAUAAAUGCUCCUCCAUUGAGAAAUGACAUUUCAAAGUAAAUUGUUAAUCAAGAAUAAGUAAAUAACCACAUUUCAUAGAGUGGCAUCUCUGAAAAGAAACAAAAAGGAAAGAAGGAAGAAAGCAAGCAAGUAACUAACCUACUUAUGAGUCUAUAGGCAUGAUGUUAGGCAAAAAAAAAAAAAAACCAAAAAACUGUCUUGUGAAAGAUAAAUUAUUCAGACCACCGGGAUAUAGCCAUUUACUACAGGAGGAGGAAGAAACAAAAUCAUAAUAAUAGUCUAGUGUUAUUCUUAUUUAAAUAUGUUAACUUAGAAUAAACAUACUAUUUUCUUCUCUCUUCCCUUCUCUCCUGUCCUCUCCUACGGGCUCCUCUCCACACAUUUUCUAUCUUCCUUUUGUGUUCUAAAGAAUCUUUUAGCAAUAACAGGACAAGGAUAAAGAUAUGGGAGUGAUAUUGUUUAUUACCUGUGAACAGUAGUUUAUACUACUGUUAAUAAUAGUGUAUAUAUACCAGGUUUCUGUUUUGUUGAAUUAAUUAAGGCAGAGAAGUCAAAUAAUAACCCCUUAAAACAUUCUGUAUCAUGACCUUGGUGGUGGUUUCAGUACUCCACGGAUUUGUCAGAACUCAUCAAAUUUUACACUUAAGUAUAUAUUAUACCUCAAUAAAGCUGACAAAAAGGAAAUAGAAAGGUCAACCAUAAGCAGUUUAAUUGUACAGGAAGAAGUGGCCUACUGCCCUCCAGCUGGAGAAGUUUUACCAAGCCUAGACGGUCCUGCAGGAUGGCAUUUACCAUGGAAAAAGUGGAGAGAUGUUAUUAACAAGCACAUCACAGAAUUCAAGUAGAUUUUACAGUCUCUGAUUUGGUCUUGGAAACCAAGUCAUGUGCCUUAGCAUAAAAAUGAAAAUGGCAGUAACAACCAAAAUUCAAGGGAUUUUGAAAAUUAUGAGCAUAGGAUCAACAUGGUGAAAGAUAGAAAUUUGACAUUUAGCUUUCUGCUUAAAAACAUUCCAGUUUUUAACAAAGAUCAGUAAUAUAAAAAUGGUAGAUGAUACCAUCUCAUACCCAUUAGAAUGGCUACUAUCAAUUAAAAAAAUAAAAACCAGAAACCAGAAAAUAACAAGUGCUGAAAGGAUGUGGUGAAAUUGGGAACCCUUGUGUGCUGGAGGUAGGAAUAUACAGUGGUAUGGCCAUUAUGAAAAACAGUAUGGCAGUUCCUGAAAACACUGAAAAUAGAAUUAUGAUAUGAUCCAGAGAUUUCACUUCCAGGUUUAUACCCAAAAGAAUUGAGAGCAGGAACCAGAACAGAUAUCUGUAAACCUGUGUUCAUAGCAGCAGCAUUAUGUGCAAUUGCCAAAAAAUGAAGGCAACCCAAGUAUUUAUUAACAGAUGAAGAGGUAAGCACAAGGUUGUAUAUCCAUAAAAUGGAAUGUUAUUCAGCCUUAAAAAGGAAGAAAAUCCUGUCAUAUGCUACAAUAUGCAAGAAACUUGAGGGGAUUAUGCUCAGUGAAAUAAUCCACUCACAGAAAGACAAACACUCUAUGAUUCCACUUAUAUGACAUACCUAGAGUAGUCAAAAUCACAGAGAUGGAAAGUGGAAAGGUGAUUGCCAGGGUUGUUGUAGGGGAGGGGGAGACAUGGGGGGGAGAAGAUUGGAAGAGACUUCUGUUUUCUCUAGAGAGGGAGGAUUCAAGCAGGCGGCUUGCAUGGGAUUGUAGACUCAACUUUUCAAUGCCUCUUCCAUUCCUCCAAUGAUAAAAGGAGGCACUUGGUAAUUAAAAGACUCCCUAGCUGUUGAACAGAAGUAACAAAUAGCAACAUGAGGAAAGGAACAACAAAGAAAGUGGCUGAGAAGAGCAGGAAGUUCACAAAAGCAAAGUUACAAACCAUUUUAUAAGUGGGAGAAGGAAAUGGUGAAUUCAAAAGUUGUAAAACAAAGGAGUGACAAAACAUCUGAGCAAGAAAGAACAAGAUAUUCUACAGAAACAUGCUGGGGUCUGGGGUUUUUAGCUGAUGAACAGAGCUAUUGACUGGCCAACAUUUUAUUGAAAAACACCAUGUUUUCCAUAGGUAUCCAAUGUUUAUUGCCUAAGUGUUAGUUCUGAGGAUACACCCAGCAAAUUAUAAUAUCCAUAAGCAGAUAUUUUGUAAAUGGAAGUCAUGGAUAUGCCCACAGAAACCAAAAAGCAGAAAGUCACAUUGUCCAGAUUAAUAUAUUUUGAGAUUCUUUUUAAUGAAAAUUCUUAUUUAUUUUGUGUCAGAAGAACACCAGGGAAUAAAAUUAUUUUGAAAAGAGGCUAGGUGGAGUACAAUUCAUAGUCUUCCUCAAAAUGGGGAAAAAAGUAAUUGUAUCCAAACAAAUUUUUAUAUCUAGUUAUUUGAGGUGGUACUUAAAGUCUUUCCUAAAAUGAUUAUUCAGGGAAAAUUAUUCAGUUGGGAUUAUCCUUACUUUCUAUAACUCCUUUUUUUUUUUUUUCCUGGUAUGUGGCUUUAAGCCAGUCCUCUGAUUCUUAGAAUGCUCCAAAAAAAAAAAAAAAAAAUGAAUUAAGGAAAAGGAAAGAAAAUUCAAAUAAGUCAAUGGGGCUGCUUGGCAGUAGUGAACAAAAAGCAUGUGAUUAGGAAGGGGCUGAAAUGAACUAAAAGCAAGGCAACUGCUUUUUUCAAUAAUACUAUUUCUAUCCUCCAUUUCCAUAGAAGAAAGCAAGCUAAAAUGGUAUAAGAAAAAUAGUGAAUAUUUAUCAGACUAAGUAUAUGAUGUGCCAAGGCCAGUCCUAAGUGCUUUGUAUGUACAAACUCAUGUAAUAUUCACAGCAACCCUGUAAGGAAGAUAUCCGUAAGAGCCGAUUGUUACACUUUCAGGAAUUUUGUGAGCCUUUGUUGGUAGCUUGAAAUCAGUCAUUGUGGCAGUACUUACAUGAUGGAAAUUAAAAUAUGCUACAAAUCCGAGACUUUGGGGUGAGAGCCGUUUGUUAAACAUCUUCCAGAACAAAACUGCUAUUGCCUUCAUUCACAGAUGGGUAAACUGGGGCACAGAAAAAUUGAGUGAUUUGCCCAUAAUCAUGCAACUAGUAGUUGGUGGAGUUGAAAUUUUAUCCUAGGCAACACCACCUGGGAGCCCAAGCUUUCAGUCAUCAUGUUACACUGCUUAUGAUAUGACUAAAAUGCAUUGGCUAGAUUUACAAAGCCUGGGUCCCAAUUUGGACUCGUCUGCUACUCACUGUUAAAGCUGUCUGUCUCAAGACAUUUCAUAAUAGAAUGCUUCACAUUUAUCUCUGCUAUAUCAUAAAUAAAAUAUAUUAUGUGAAAAUGCAAAAUAAGCCUUGAUUCUUUUCAUUCCUUUCUUUACUUUUCCUUUCUUCUUCUUUCUCUUUCCCUUCCCUUCUCUUUUCUUUCCCUCCCUCCCUCACUCCUACCCUCCCUCUUUUCUUUCCUUCCUUCCCUCUUUUCUUUCCUCUUUUCUCCUUCCUCCCUUCCUCCCUUCCUCCCUUCCUCCCUUCCUCCCUCCCUUCCUCCCUUCCUCCUUUCCUUCCUUCCAACACUGAUUAUGUCUAUGGUAUUGAGUAGGAUGUAUGUGAAUCUUGCGGGACUUUUGGCAGCAUUUGAGGAGGACUGGAGUGAAUUUUCUCCCUAAUGCUUUCUCAUUAUCAUAGAAAGCAGAACAGCUGUGCUGACAAUGGGCACCAUCAUCAUCAUUAAUAAAUAUUUAUUGAGCGCACCCUUUGUCCUGAACUCUGAGGACAUAUUAAGGUAGAAGAUAACCGUCUUGGAGCUUGUCAAGCAGAGUGUUCUCUUCUCUUUCUGCCUCUAGCUGCAUCUCUACCAACAGUUGGAUCUGCAUCGCUCUGAGAAUCAUCAUGGUUUCAGGUUUCACCAGGAGACUCUGGUCUCUGGGCUUCAUUAAUUAUCUCUUGGUUUCUCAAAGCCUAGAGGGGAUAACUGACACCUUACUGUUGCUACUCAAUUCUUUAUUUCUUAGCUCUUUCAUCAUCUAUGUAACCAAUUCCCUGAAUUAAAUUCCUUCUGUUUUCCUGGUUGGACCCUGACUGAUACAAUUCACUGUAUAAGUAUGUGUAUAACAGGUCAUGAUACAUAAUACAUUUCUUACUUUGAGCAGUUAAUAAAAGUUUGCACAUUAGCAUGCAAUGGAUGGUGCUGAGCCCAUUUCUUUAGUUGGUCACUGACGGCUAUCAGUGAGUUGCAGAACAUGAUCUUGGAGACAUUUUUCUUCUUCUUUUAAGGAAAACUGUUAUAUAGUAAAUGGUUUACUGACUGGGAAUGUGGACACCACCAUUCUAAUCUUAGUGGGUGAUCUUGGGUAAUCCAUUCAAACAUGCGUUCCAGUGUAUUAUGUUUACUUUAUGCAUGGAACCAGAGGUUCUGAGAUUGUUAUGUAUUUUUUAAACCAGUGGUUAUUAUAAGAACUUUCAAUGGUACCAUUUUAAGUAAGACUGAUACAUAGUCUGCAAUAGCUUAAAGACCAGUGAUGAUAGCAUUUGAAGGCUGUUUAAAAGAAUAGUCAUUUAUUUAGAACAUUAAAUUAUGCUUUCACUAUUAUUUUCCUCAAUUAGUAAGUAGUUAUUUAUGAUGUUAGCAUUAGAAAUAAUAGCUCAACAUUCUGGUCUUAAGUUCUUGGGAACAUAAUUGACAUUGAUAUGGGCCAAGAGAACUGCAGAAUAUUAGGUAACUGUGGCUACAGGUAAUGUCAGUUGAUAAAUGUCAUAAAAUCUACCCCUGAUAAGUGAAUAUAUUUUUAAAGUAUUUUAA